rnacentral:rRNA from 1 species
UACGGGGGGGAGCAAGCGUUGUUCGGAUUUACUGGGCGUAAAGGGCGCGUAGGCGGUCAGCACAAGUCAGUUGUGAAAUCUCCGGGCUUAACUCGGAAAGGUCAACUGAUACUGUGCGACUAGAGUGCAGAAGGGGCAACUGGAAUUCUCGGUGUAGCGGUGAAAUGCGUAGAUAUCGAGAGGAACACCAGUGGCGAAGGCGAGUCCCUGGACAACACCUGACACUGAGGCACGAAAGCUAGGGGAGCAAACAGG